UGGUAGUNCACGCCGUAAACGAUGAGUGCUAGGUGUUGGAUCCUUUCCGGGAUUCAGUGCCGCAGCUAACGCAUUAAGCACUCCGCCUGGGGAGUACGACCGCAAGGUUGAAACUCAAAGGAAUUGACGGGGGCCCGCACAAGCGGUGGAGCAUGUGGUUUAAUUCGAAGCAACGCGAAGAACCUUACCAGGUCUUGACAUCCCGAUGCUAUUUCUAGAGAUAGAAAGUUACUUCGGUACAUCGGUGACAGGUGGUGCAUGGUUGUCGUCAGCUCGUGUCGUGAGAUGUUGGGUUAANNCCNGCAACGAGCGCAACCCCUAUUGUUAGUUGCCAUCAUUCAGUUGGGCACUCUAGCGAGACUGCCGGUAAUAAACCGGAGGAAGGUGGGGAUGACGUCAAAUCAUCAUGCCCCUUAUGACCUGGGCUACACACGUGCUACAAUGGUUGGUACAACGAGUUGCGAGUCGGUGACGGCAAGCUAAUCUCUUAAAGCCAAUCUCAGUUCGGAUUGUAGGCUGCAACUCGCCUACAUGAAGUCGGAAUCGCUAGUAAUCGCGGAUCAGCACGCCGCGGUGAAUACGUUCCCGGGCCUNGU
rnacentral:rRNA from 1 species